rnacentral:rRNA from 1 species
GACGAACGCUGGCGGCGUGCCUAAUACAUGCAAGUCGAGCGGACCUUUCGGGGUUAGCGGCGGACGGGUGAGUAACACGUAGGUAACCUGCCUGUAAGAUUGGGAUAACUACCGGAAACGGUAGCUAAGACCGGAUAACUGGUUCUGGCGCAUGCCGAGAUUAUGAAACAUGGAGCAAUCUAUGGCUUACAGAUGGACCUGCGGCGCAUUAGCUAGUUGGUGGGGUAACGGCUCACCAAGGCGACGAUGCGUAGCCGACCUGAGAGGGUGACCGGCCACACUGGGACUGAGACACGGCCCAGACUCCUACGGGAGGCAGCAGUAGGGAAUCUUCCGCAAUGGACGCAAGUCUGACGGAGCAACGCCGCGUGAGUGAUGAAGGUUUUCGGAUCGUAAAGCUCUGUUGCCCUAGACGAAAGCAUGAGGAGUAACUGCCUUGUGUGUGACGGUAUAGGAGAAGAAAGCCCCGGCUAACUACGUGCCAGCAGCC